ACGGCAAUGGUUUGGCAGUGAGCGAUUCUUAUUAGGGGAAUAUGCAUAGUGAAGGAUGGUCCACCUAUUAGUUUACUCUUUUUAUGUUGGUGUAUGUCUGGUUUGAUAUUAUUGUUGAAUAAUUUAAGUUUGUGUAGUUUUAGUUAAGCUAAGUCUAUGUGCUGCUUAUGGGAGUUUUUGUGUGUUACAUUAAUAAGGGUGUUAUUGUAAGAUGAUGUGAUUUAGA
rnacentral:rRNA from 1 species